GAUGAACGCUGGCUACAGGCUUAACACAUGCAAGUCGAGGGGAAACGACGGGGAAGCUUGCUUCCCCGGGCGUCGACCGGCGCACGGGUGAGUAACGCGUAUCCAACCUGCCUCUGACUGAGGGAUAACCCGUCGAAAGUCGGCCUAAUACCUCAUGGUAUCGUCUGCGGGCAUCCAACGACGAUUAAAGAUUUCAUCGGUCAGGGAUGGGGAUGCGUCUGAUUAGCUUGUUGGCGGGGUAACGGCCCACCAAGGCUACGAUCAGUAGGGGUUCUGAGAGGAAGGUCCCCCACAUUGGAACUGAGACACGGUCCAAACUCCUACGGGAGGCAGCAGUGAGGAAUAUUGGUCAAUGGGCGAGAGCCUGAACCAGCCAAGUAGCGUGCAGGAAGACGGCCCUAUGGGUUGUAAACUGCUUUUAUGCGGGGAUAAAGUGAGGGACGUGUCCCUCAUUGCAGGUACCGCAUGAAUAAGGACCGGCUAAUUCCGUGCCAGCAGCCGCGGUAAUACGGAAGGUCCUGGCGUUAUCCGGAUUUAUUGGGUUUAAAGGGAGCGUAGGCCGUGGAUUAAGCGUGUUGUGAAAUGCAGGUGCUCAACGUCUGCACUGCAGCGCGAACUGGUCCACUUGAGUGUGCGCAACGCAGGCGGAAUUCGUCGUGUAGCGGUGAAAUGCUUGGAUAUGACGAAGAACUCCGAUUGCGAAGGCAGCUUGCGGGAGCACAACUGACGCUGAAGCUCGAAAGUGCGGGUAUCGAACAGGAUUAGUACCCUGGUAGUCCAGGGGCGAAUUUCACAGUGGAUAUCAAGCUUAUCGAUACCGUCGGGGGGCGUUGGUUGUGUCCUGUACCAG
rnacentral:rRNA from 1 species